CUUUUCAAACCAAAAUAUCUCACGAGCUCUUGAGGAAGGCCUGGAAUAACCUUGGAGGUGGCAGAGAUGACUGGAGAGCUCAGAGUGUCGGGUAAAACAAACAUCAUCUCCAGCCUCUAUGCAUCGAAAGAUAAGGGAGGAAAAGGCCAUCUUGCUCUCAGCUGUGGAAAAGUGUAACAACAAGAAGAAUGAUUGACAGCAUCCUGAAACAUGGGUGGUGUGCUACGUAUCCAUGUUUUCUGGAAACACUGUACAUGUGGUAGAAGAUGGCUGUCGUCGUGGGUGCUGAACAAAAAUAAAAUCCACUAUGCUUUGUUUUUAGUUUGCCGCUUCAUGGUUAACUAUUUUACUCUUUAAAAAAAUAAAGCAACACAGACAC